rnacentral:rRNA from 1 species
GAUGAACGCUGGCGGCGUGCCUAGUACAUGCAAGUCGAGCGAACGGACGAGAAGCUUGCUUCUCUGAUGUUAGCGGCGGACGGGUGAGUAACACGUGGAUAACCUACCUAUAAGACUGGGAUAACUUCGGGAAACCGUAGCUAAUACCGGAUAAUAUUUUGAACCGCAUGGUUCAAAAGUGAAAGACGGUCUUGCUGUCACUUAUAGAUGGAUCCGCGCUGCAUUAGCUAGUUGGUAAGGUAACGGCUUACCAAGGCAACGAUGCAUAGCCGACCUGAGAGGGUGAUCGGCCACACUGGAACUGAGACACGGUCCAGACUCCUACGGGAGGCAGCAGUAGGGAAUCUUCCGCAAUGGGUGAAAGCCUGACGGAGCAACGCCGCGUGAGUGAUGAAGGUCUUCGGAUCGUAAAACUCUGUUAUUAGGGAAGAACAUAUGUGUAAGUAACUGUGCACAUCUUGACGGUACCUAAUCAGAAAGCCACGGCUAACUACGUG